rnacentral:rRNA from 1 species
AUUGAACGCUGGCGGCCGGCCUAACACAUGCAAGUCGAGCGAGCGGCGGACGGGUGAGUAAUGUCUGGGAAACUGCCUGAUGGAGGGGGAUCACUACUGGAAACGGUAGCUCAUACCGCAUACCAUCAGAUGUGCCCAGAUGGGAUUAGCUAGUAGGGGGGGUAACGGCUCACCUGGGCGACGAUCCCUAGCUGGUCUGAGAGGAUGACCAGCCACACGGGAACUGAGACACGGUCCAGACUCCGACGGGAGGCAGCAGUGGGGAAUAUUGCACAAGGGGCGCAAGCCUGAUGCAGCCAUGGCGCGUGGGUGAAGAAGGCCUUCGGGGUGUAAAGGACUUUCAGCGGGGAGGCGUUACCCGCAGAAGAAGCACCGGCUAACUCCGUGCCAGCAGCCGCGGUAAUUC